GACGAACCGUCCAAACGUUAUUCGGUAUCACUGGGCUUAAAGCGUGCGUAGGCGGCUUGGUAGGUGAGAUGUGAAAGCCCACGGCUCAACCGUGGAAUUGCGUUUCAAACCCCCAAGCUCGAGUAAGAUAGGGGUGAUGGGAACUUAUGGUGGAGCGGUGAAAUGCGUUGAUAUCAUAGGGAACACCGGUGGCGAAAGCGCAUCACUGGAUCUUUACUGACGCUGAGGCACGAAAGCUAGGGUAGCGAAC
rnacentral:rRNA from 1 species